UUUUGUCAUCAGUAACUUCUGUUGUGGCUUCUUUUUUUUUGCAUGCUUUUUUAUUUGCACCAGUGGCACUUCUCGGCCACUGUAUAAUUGGUUUCAAUGGUGGCUGAGUCACAACAGAAGAAACCAAAGCCUGCUGCAAAUUAAAAAAGAACUAAAAAAAAAGAAGUCACAACGGAAGUUACAGAUGCAGAAAA